GGGUUGUGAGGUUAAGCGACUAAGCGUACACGGUGGAUGCCCUGGCAGUCAGAGGCGAUGAAGGACGUGCUAAUCUGCGAUAAGCGCCGGUAAGGUGAUAUGAACCGUUAUAACCGGCGAUUUCCGAAUGGGGAAACCCAGUGUGAUUCGUCACACUAUCAUUAACUGAAUCCAUAGGUUAAUGAGGCGAACCGGGGGAACUGAAACAUCUAAGUACCCCGAGGAAAAGAAAUCAACCGAGAUUCCCCCAGUAGCGGCGAGCGAACGGGGAGGAGCCCAGAGCCUGAAUCAGCAUGUGUGUUAGUGGAAGCGUCUGGAAAGGCGCGCGAUACAGGGUGACAGCCCCGUACACAAAAGCGCAUAUGCUGUGAGCUCGAUGAGUAGGGCGGGACACGUGGUAUCCUGUCUGAAUAUGGGGGGACCAUCCUCCAAGGCUAAAUACUCCUGACUGACCGAUAGUGAACCAGUACCGUGAGGGAAAGGCGAAAAGAACCCCGGCGAGGGGAGUGAAAAAGAACCUGAAACCGUGUACGUACAAGCAGUGGGAGCACCCUUUGGGGUGUGACUGCGUACCUUUUGUAUAAUGGGUCAGCGACUUAUAUUCUGUAGCAAGGUUAACCGAAUAGGGGAGCCG
rnacentral:rRNA from 1 species